GACCCAGUGGUGUAAUGGUAGCACAUCCGUGAACUGUCAAGAGAGCGAAUGGAAGUUUUCAGAGGAAGGUCCUUGUUUCAGAGGAAGGUCCUUGUUCGAUCCAAGGCUGGGCCG